GAAAAAAGCAUUUACUUUGCCUUCGUUCUGGAAUUUAAUCAGACCGUUUAUGAGAUGAAUUUUUGUCCUGUUUUCCGAAGAACCCAGUUCUGCUUUCCUGAGUUAUUCUUGAAUCAGUCUAAAUGGCGUUAAAGAAGGAGCAAAGAAACGGUGAACAAUUACAAGAAGAUGGGUCGAGCGCAGAUUUUUGAGGAUGAUGGUAUUUGUUUAUCUUCAGAUGACUGGUGGUAGUGGAGCCGCAGCAACAAUAUAGAUGCUGAAAAUGGUGGUAUAGUUUGCGGGUGUUUCCAAAUAUAUAUCUCGAAUUGCUUUCACAGAUUAUGUAGUGGCGAAAGUCUAUGGAAGAAGUCAAAAAGGCAAAGGAGAUUAGGAAAACAACAAGAUGUGGUCAGAUUGAUAUAACCAAAAACAUAUGACGCCGUAAUGUAGCUAGGUUGUAUUUUGUAUUAUAGGCAUAAUUGUUAAUAAUAAAAGAAAAGAUUUUCUGGGUUUUUAGUAGGAAGAAGACUGCUGGGAUUGCCAGGUCUCUUCCUCGUUGUGCUGUGGUUGUUGUGUGUGUCCACUCUCUCUCUCUCUUUCUCUCUCACUUACUUUCUCUAUUACUCUUUUCCCCUUCACUUUCUCUCUGUUUUCUCUUUUCUUUUAUCUCUCUGCUUUCUCUUUAUAUUUUUUUUGUUUCUCAAUCUCUUCUCUGUCUAUCUACUUCUACUUUCUAUGUUUUAGUUUUCCUC